CGCCACAAAUACAGAGAGUUCACCGAUCACACGGACAGAGUCUCCCCUAUAUUUGCACGGCGUCGCACAAGUAUAACAAGUAAACUGGAUAAAACCACAACUUAAUGAAUAUAGAAACAACUAUACAAUCAUUCAUUCACCAUUCACAUCACAGUUAUACAUUCAAUAUUUAAACAUAAAUCUACAUCUAUCAGUUAAAACGUUUCCAACCCAGAAAUAGAUUUUGAAAUACUAAGAUACAAAAUCCACAGAAAACCUUUUAAAAACGGUUCCCUACACGGGAACUUUUAUCUUUUAGAAACGCUACCACGAGGGGUAGAAAAUCAUUCAACAUUUGAAAUCCACAAAUCUUUUUUAUUAUAUUAUAAAUCCAACUGAAAACUCAGAUAUUCAAAUAAUAUAACAAAACUGAACCAUGAUAUCACGCCCCGGGACCGGCGGAGGCCCUCCCGGUAGCGUGCCCAGACCCGCCAUAUGUCUACACAUAUAAGGCGUCUACAAUAAAAGUGGAAGUAAAAGCAAGUAAUAGAACAAAUAGAAGAAGUGAAAUAAUGAGCAGCUAAUGAUAUCAGAGCGAGUAAAGUUCUAACAUCUACACCAAGGUAA
rnacentral:lncRNA from 1 species